GAUGGAAUGAAAAGGGGUGAUGUGGGGGCGAAGGAACAGAAGGGGGGGCGAUAUGGGGGCAAUGGAGCAAGAAAUAAUAGGGGAGAGAGAGAGA